GAUGACGCACAGUGCUGGCGCAAGUCGUCUUGCGCCAGGCGACUGGGUCUGAGGAGGCAGGAGUUAUUCAUUCCCUUAAGCUUUCAGGCCGGGGGGAGAAUCUUUCAGGUGGUAGCUGCAAGAACUCUUAGUAUGUUGACCUCACCUCUGCCUUCCACAUACCACUACCAGUGAGGAAUUAGGAAUGCAUGAGAAGAGUGUCCAAGAAGAGUGUCCUCAUUCAUGCAAGGCUUAAGAGAGAAUGCAGGUCAACAUCACCAUGUCAAUCAGAGCUUUCAGAGUGACUAACCAUACCAGUUUGACCAAGACUGUAUUGGCUGCAGCACUUAAAAGCUCACAUCCCGGAAAUCCUUUGGUCCUCGGUGAAUUGGGAUGGUUGGUUACCCUAUUACUGAUGAUUGUAAUUCUCAGCGUAGUUUGGAACCAGCAGCAGCAGCAGCUCCCCAGACCUACUGAAUCAGAAUCUACAUUUUGAUAAGAGCCCAGGGUGACUCCAUGUACGUGAAAAAGUUUGAGAAGUCCUUAGACCUACAGUUCACAGCUUCUCCUUCUUUCUUAUUCAACUGAAUUGCAGUGGGACCUGAGUAUGGUUAAAAUAAAUGAAUAAAAACACAAA
rnacentral:lncRNA from 1 species